GACAGAGGAGGCAAGCGUUAUCCGGAAUUAUUGGGCGUAAAGCGUGCGUAGGCGGCUGCUUAAGUCAGAUGUGAAAGCCCCGGGCUUAACCUGGGAACGGCAUUUGAUACUGGGCAGCUCGAGUUGAGUAGAGGAGAGGGGAAUUUCCGGUGUAGCGGUGAAAUGCGUAGAGAUCGGAAGGAACACCAGUGGCGAAGGCUCCUCUCUGGACUCAAACUGACGCUGAGGUACGAAAGCGUGGGUAGCAAACAGG
rnacentral:rRNA from 1 species